AUGAACGCUGGCGGCGUGCCUAAUACAUGCAAGUCGAGCGAACAGACGAGGAGCUUGCUCCUCUGACGUUAGCGGCGGACGGGUGAGUAACACGUGGAUAACCUACCUAUAAGACUGGGAUAACUUCGGGAAACCGGAGCUAAUACCGGAUAAUAUAUUGAACCGCAUGGUUCAAUAGUGAAAGACGGUUUUGCUGUCACUUAUAGAUGGAUCCGCGCCGCAUUAGCUAGUUGGUAAGGUAACGGCUUACCAAGGCAACGAUGCGUAGCCGACCUGAGAGGGUGAUCGGCCACACUGAAACUGAGACACGGUCCAGACUCCUACGGGAGGCAGCAGUAGGGAAUCUUCCGCAAUGGGCGAAAGCCUGACGGAGCAACGCCGCGUGAGUGAUGAAGGUCUUCGGAUCGUAAAACUCUGUUAUUAGGGAAGAACAAAUGUGUAAGUAACUAUGCACGUCUUGACGGUACCUAAUCAGAAAGCCACGGCUAACUACGUG
rnacentral:rRNA from 1 species